GAGGGUGCUAAGUGUAGCGAAAUUCCUUGCCUUUUGAUUGUAGGCCUGCAUGAAUGGUUUAACGAGGGUUUAACUGUCUCUAAAUUUUUAGUUGAAAUUGUAUUGAAGGUGAAGAUACCUUCAUUAAAAAGUUAGACAAAAAGACCCCGUGCAACUUUGAAAAUUGACUAUAUUCAGAAGUAAAAGAUUUUUAGGUGGGGCGCCUAGAAAGUAAGUCUAACCUUUCUGAAUAGUAAAUUCUCUCUGGAUUUGACCCGAUCAUAUUCGAUCAUAGGAGAAGUUACGCCGGGGAUAACAGGCUAAUCCUUUAGUAGAGCUCGUAUUGGCUAAAGGGAUUGGCACCUCGAUGUUGAAUCAGGGACGAUAGCUUCAAGGCGUAGAGGCUUUGAAAGUAGGUCU
rnacentral:rRNA from 1 species